AAGACACCCAUGACACAACAGCAAUGUUUUAGAGGUGCCUAACACAAGGGGAGGUUACUCUGAGAAGAUGAUAUGAUGUAGCAUGACCAUCCAGUCAUUUUCAGAUCUACAUCAUAAGAAAAACAUGACAGCUUAGCGGAAAUCAAUGUUACGUUAAAGGCCAGACGAUGGAACGAUAUUAAUUUAUGUAUUCUGCCAAUUUAUUCAUCCAACGUGCUACAUAUUGCGCACAUUACACCAACUUUGGCUCAAACAUAUGUGAAAUCGGCGAGUAUUGGAUGAAAAGCCACCCAGAAAGUUGCUGAUCGGCUUACUAAAAUGAAGUAAAUGUUUAAGGUCACGAAUUGUUAAAAUAAAUAUUAUGUCGUUUA